rnacentral:tRNA from 1 species
UCUAAUAUGGCAGAUAAGUGCAAUGGAUUUAAGCUCCACACAUAGAGGAAAAUCCUCUUUUUAGAA